ensembl:lncRNA
GGGUUUCAGCUCGCCGCCGGAGAGCCGGACAGUGAGGUGGUGCUGUGGGUCCGGGCUACAGUUCAGCUGGCUGCACUGAGGCCCAGGACCGUGGGCAUAGGCGUCCCCAGCUGGAGGCAGCUCCGACGCCGGCCAAGCCUCAGGCGGCAGGGGUGCGGGCCGCUGCCAGGAUGGCGUGCGAGGUCCCUCGAAGCCCGGCCUGGCUCCCGUGGACCCUCUGCGCCGCGCUUUCUUGCCCUUUCCCACACAGAGGCGGGCAGCAGCUCCCGGGGCUGCCUGGGGGCGCACAGGGAGGGCGCAGGCCUCGCCACCCGCCGCCGCCUCCGUGGUCCGCCUCUCUGCAAGCAGACGGCAGGACGGGCGCCUUCUUCCGGAAGCUGGGAACUGAGGGAAGUCCUCCGAGCGCCCGGUGCCGGGAGAUUCGCCGUGCCUGCGGUCACCCGGAGCGGGCCCGUGGUGCUGGCGCUUUCCAGCUGCCUGUGGUGGCGAGCCCGAGGCGGGGGAGGGCGAGGCCAGGAGGCGACAGAGCCCGGUGUGUGCCCAGGGCGGCCUGCUUGGCCGCUGGUGAGGGGAUUCGGGAAGUGUCUCUCUCCUCACUGGUGCCACCCGCCGCCUGCCCCUGGGGCUGGCUCUCGUUUCUGCCUGGGGCAGGACCUGACAGGUGCGAAGCUCUGGACGGAGGAGGUGCCUGGUUUCCUGGAGGUGGCAGGGCCGCAGGCGGUUAUGCCAAGAGGCGCAGAUAGGUGGAUGGGCCUAGGGGAACCUUCCAAGGACUUUUCCAGAUCAGGGGACCAGAAGACGGGCGUGGGUUGGGGAGGCGGGGCUCAGGAGGAGUCCCUAGAGGCUCAGGGGGAGGUCUCCGUCGUUGCCAGGUACCUGAGGGGUCGCAAAGAGUUGAACACGACUGAGCAAGUGAACUGAACUGAGGACCAGACGGCAGCUUCUCUGGCGUGCAGGGUGGCUGGCUGCCUCUGCGGUGGGCCCUGAGGCCCAAGAAGAAGGAGGGGCUGUCUCUGUAGACACUGCCUUUGCCCGGGCAACAGCUUGAGAUAGGCAAAGCUCGUGUCUUCCUCGUGGAAGGGGCUGCAGAUCGUCAAGUCCCUUAAUAAGCCCAUCUGAGGCGGUCUGAAGUGUUACCAAAGAAGACGGGGAGGGGUGACCGUGUGAUCAGGGUGCUUCUACUCUCAACCAGGUGGUCCAUGCCGUGCAAAGAUAGGGGAAGAACACCUUCCAGGUUCAGCAGGUACGGAGGAAGCCCUAAGGUGGGAGUGUGGUGGGGAGCAAGGUGAGCAGGAAGGGACCACGGGGAGAGAUGCGGGGUCCAGUCACUCGGCCACUGUAGGCAGAGCUGGGAUUGGUGUGGCCGUUUCUGUGUGGCCUCCGUGAGUACACCGGGGCCCGCGCUCUGUGCUAGAUCCUGUCUUAAGGCCUCCCUUUCUCCCACCAUGAAGAGCCAUGCUCUCUACGCUCCAUUCUCCUGGUUGCUGCCGGAAAAAGCCGGUCACAGGCGCCUGUUGGGAGAGGGAGAGCUGGGCUUUCCUGGUGUACUGGUGGGGUGCUAAAGGUUUCAGGCCCUGCAGUUUUCCCAAGGCCUUGAUGUCUUUAUCAGGGCCUUUGUAGUCACAUUUAUAAACUCUUGUUGGAAAAUGGAGCCUUUAUUUUUAGCUUGCCCAGAUGGCAGGCGCCAAGGCCGCGGGGAGGCAGCUGCUGCUCCCUGCCUUUGGUUUCUGUGAAGCUUCAAAGUGGUGGGGCCUGUUUGACUCCUUUUCAAACUCAUUGUGUGGCUUCUUGACUCCUUAUCUCAUCUUUCGUUCAGCUGGCUUUCUUCUCUGCCACUGAGGAGGUUGUGAGGGGGAGGGAGGGACUGCCCCAGUUCUCACUGCAGAAGGGGGCUGCAGAGGGUGGAAGACACUCUGUCGUGGGGGUCAGAUGCUGGUCAGCCAGGAACCUGCAGUUGCAAGCUGCAGAAGGUGGCGUGGACUGACAGGGGCCGCAGAAGAGCACACUGGGAAGAGCUGUGGUAGCUCAGGCCAGGGGCAGGAGAGUUUCACGGGAGGAUGGCCGGGUCGCUUCCUGGGUAGGACUCAGUCUCCAGCUGCUGGACUCCACUGGACAUGGCCUCUGAUUUCUCUGAGCUUCCGUCUCCAGCUGGGACUGUGUUCCCCUCCUGCUCUCUUGAGUUGUGGGGUUUGAAGAACACACUGAAUUCUGUUUAAGCCCCUUGGCACGGAAGACUCUGAGUGGGUGGUGGCAGGAGGACUUGAGGUGUCGGGGCAUCGGGACAGGUUGCAAACUGCCAGGUACAGGAGUCCAAGAACACCUCCAGCAGAGGCCACAGUGGUGUGUGCAGUAUCGCCGCCUAAGAAACCUGGCCGCCAUCCCCGACCACCCCCUUCAGAGUCUCAGAUGUGGGCUACAUCUGUGGAUUGAGAUGAAAAAUCUGCAUAUCUGGUGGGCCUUGGCCUGGUAAUAGCACCGCUGAUGAUCUUAUCAGGUGAAAAAGCCCAGACACGGGGCAGAAGAACCCAGAGACGUGCUGUGGACCUAGCACGCGGCAUCUGCCUUGCCUCUGGGAGGGUCUGGCCGGCUUGCCGAGGGUCCCUGAAGAUGAGGCUGCUGCUGCUCUGACCUGGUGGAAGCGCCCUGCGGACUUCCACUCAUGCUGGGAUUAAUCUAGUUCCAGGCGGGGCGGUGGUUCCUGACACGCUUUGUACACCUCAGACCCAUCUUCCAAGAUGACUGAGGCUGUGCGGGGGAGCUUAACAUUUUAACUGAGGAAGUGGAGACCAUGGCCUUGAGAAUAGUCUGAUGACUUCUCACAGUUUUAAAAAAACAGACUGUGUGUUGGUUGCCAUGCCUGUAGCUUACAAAAAAUUCUGUGUUCUUACAGAACUUACAAAAAGUUCUGUGAUGAGUGGCUUCAGUCAUUAAAAACAAGCAUUUUUAUUUUUAACAAAAUGUGGAGAUGAUGGAGGUGCUGCUGACUGGAUAAGCAUUACCAACAAGGACCACUGGGGGGCGACACAACACGGGGAAAUAGGUCUCACAGAUGUCGUUUUCUUUUCCUUGCAAAUUCUCAACCAUGUUUUUGUAUUUUUAACUAAAUGAAAAUACUGAAAAUAGUAUAGCAGAGAGCACUUUUAAUGGAAAAUUAAUUGAUAACACAGUCUUAUUUCAAUUUUCUGUUUAUUUUUAACUUAAAUGACUGUGUAUAUUCCACAGUCUUACGAUGAGAAAGGCUCUAGAGUCAUGUCCAGGUCUUCUCAACAUUUCAUUUCUUGAGUCGUUUUUUCGCUUUUCUUUGUGCAUUGAUAGGGGCUUCUCAGUUCAGAAACCAAGGCACUAGAACUAUUUUAUCAGCUACAUUAAUACAUUGAAGGUGUAUUUACCCUCUCAUUAAAUAUACAGCAUUUGAAUACAAUGUGGUUUUAUGCAGAUCAGGUUCAAAACACCCAAGGCACACACUUUACUUUUUUUCCUCUUUUUUGUUUCUGUAUUUAUUUGAAGGCUCAUAGUAAAAUUUCAGAAUUUCUAUAAACAAAGAGUUCCAGAGAAGCAAUGGACAAUGAUUGUUGUAAUUUUAAACAUAAUGCGGUAAAGACUGAACUGCAGAAACAUGUUACAGGAACAGGAAAGAAACAAAAGCACUGGUACAGCGUGGGUUAAAAACAAGUGAUCGGAUCCGCUGAAGUCUGAGAAGCCGGUCUGGAAUCGCCCAUCUGCCCACAAAGCCGGGGCAGGCCCAUCUGCACGCGGCUGCCUGGGCACGUGGCGGCCGUGGGACUGAAGCCUUGUUGCGUGUGUACACGGAUCGCUACAAAUACACGAGACGUCCCAGUUUACUGGUUAUUAAAAUGCCUCAGGUAAAGUACAAAUAAACGGAAAAAGUCUUCCAGUAUCUAUUUUUUCCUUAACAAGACAGACGGAUACAUUUAUCUGGAAGAAGCCAUUGGACAGUGGGGCUGGGGGGCGGUGAAGAUCUGAGAGGAACCACUGGAUGGUGUAGCAGGUGGACCUCGGGGAGCGUAAACUACAGAAGAUUCACCGAGGCUGAGAAUUUGGCAUUGACAUAGAAAUGGUGGCUGCUGUUCAAGGGGAGAAUGUGCCAGAGCAGAAGAAACUGCUCCAGAACUAAAGACCGUGAGUUUUCACUGAUGAGACCUAAGAAGAGGUUCAAUAUUUAAAAUAUGCUUCCCUACAGUGGAAGGAAUAGCCCAUGUCUUCUUGGCUCAGUUCUCUGACGGAAGACACGUUCUCUUGCCCCAAGCCUUAGUGCACACUUGUUCAUAAAAAUCUGGUUGGCUCUGCGUCAGCCAGAGAGGCUGCCCAGCCUGCGUGCCCGGCAGCAAGGAGACAGCCAGCUGUGGGUGUGCGCGAUCCUCUGCUCUGAGGAGCAAGGUCUGCACCUGGCUCUCCCGCCACGCCCUUCUGCAUCCAUCUCAGACAGGAGAGCCGGGCCUCGGCUCCCUCACAGCAGUGUUCACAGACGUCCGUGGUGCUGCUCUCGUGGUUCUAAAAUAAUGCUCGUUUCCACCUGUACAGUGAGAAAACUUGCAGGAGAUGGAACCAAGGCAGAGGAGCUCACUGAAAGGAUUUUCACUCUUUGGGCAGAUAUUAUCUGGUCAGUUUCAUAGAGGUCAAGUGGCUGGAUUGUAAGCUUGGCAACUUUUUAAUUCAGGAAGGUCUCACUGUUUGCAAUCAGAACCACAACCUUAGUGCAAUAGUAUAUUUAUUUUUUCUUUUUACAGUAAUUUUGGUUGCCAUACAAGAGAUGUUAAGAAUUGGGAGAAAGUGCAAAUUACAGGAGCUUGUUUUUAUGUUUUUAAUAAGGUCUAAAAAGAAUAAAAGCACAAAAGUAACAGAAACAUAGAUAAUGCGAACACAUGUUACACAAACUAUAGUGUGAAACAUACUAGUUUCUAAAAAAACGAAAAUUUUGUUAAUGGGAAAAACCAGUAUUUGUGGUCCACACAGUCAUUGCCCGAUCACCCUGGGUAAUGCUUGCUUGUUAAAUAACUCGAAAAAAAUCACCAUUUUAUUAACUAAAGUAUCACAAAUGAUUCACUUUGUGAUAUGUAAAGUUCAGCAAAUCAACAGUCACGUUGAGUCAUUUUUAUAUUAUGGAUUAACUUAAAAUGUGCAGACACCCUGGAGAAGGUAUCUUGGCAGGUAUACAUAAUUUACAUCUUGAGCAAUUUUGGUUUUGUAUACACAAUAUUACAGAAACUAGGCAUGUAAAUGCAAUUUAUUUAAAUUACAGUAUAUAACAAAAGUGGAUCUUUUUAAAACCUGGAAUAAGUAUUAACAUAAUCUUUAUAUGAGCAGUUUAACAUCUGUUUCACCGUUGAAGAGGGGCGUGGGGUAGGGCCUGGUCCUGACGUGUUUCAAGGGGGAGAACAGUGGGCGGUGGGUCAAAUGAGGAACUAUUGCUUUCUGUAGCAAAUCCGGUGGAGAGAGCUAGAGACCGAUUCAUCUUGGCAAGUGUUUUGUUGAUCAGUGCAGGUUCUGAUGGGUCCUGUUACUUCUCUAUAGUGAGAGUGUGAACCACCAACGCGGUCAGCUUUGCUUGCUUCUGGUCAGUUGCAUGUGACUCGGAAGUCUCUCUAAGGGAGUAGCAGCCGAGCCUCACCUCCUGGCUGCCCACGUCCAGCCAACCCCAACGCCCCACGCUGCCGUUGGGUACCAUCUGCCCGAGGCUCCUUUCACUCUCAUCCUGUCUAGCGUGUUGCCUGGCACUGAGCAGAGAGGUGAGACCGGCAAAGGAGAAACGAGCCGUGGUGGGGCGCUGUGCUUACUGGGUUUCGCAUCACCACCAGAGGGAAGACAGAUAAGGGCCAAGUCACCAUCUUAUGCUUUCCGAACUGUCAGCAGCCUUAGCAGGCCACCCGUAGUAUCUUGGCUUGAAACUUCUCUGGGAUUAUAUUCAUCUCAUGAUGGAAAAAUCGAAAGUACAUGGAAGUAAAACACCUUAAUAUUAAAUUGACUUCAUUCAAAUACCAAGAUUGACCUGCAACAGGUUUUGGAACAGAAGGCCCCAAACUCAAUUUCCAAUUCAGGGACAUGGGGCUGGAAAAACUCUGUGUGUGGUGACUGUGUGUGUUUUUGCAGAAAACUGCUGCAUCAUGAAUUACAACCACUUUUGAAGAAAUAAUUGUCCUUCGACGUUGAAGUUCUAGCAAAGAUAGAAAAUAUAGCACAGCUCUGCUGGUUCCGAUGCAUCCAAUAAGGUUGAUUUAAAAAGGUCGUACUUUUAUAAUUAUUCCACAGAAAUAGUAGUAUUAAAUCACAAAAGUUUGUUUUUCUUUAACUUUCUAGCACUGAAGUGGCACAAAGGCUGCCUAGUAGACCAGCCACUUUUUUUUCCCUUAAAAUAUUGUGCUUAUAAACUAUCUGUACAACUAUUUAAACUUGCAGUAAAGAAAGAUUUUAAAUUGCUAAAUUUUACGUGUUCAUUCUAGAGCUGUUCCAGACCUAAUCAGACACUUGAUUGUGAGCAUAAAGAAAAAAAGGAAAAAAAAAUUAUGUUUUUAUAAUUAGAGAUGGGCUAGGCUAGUUCUGAAAUCAUAAUAAAAGCCAAAAACUUGACAUUCUUCCAUAUGUGGGAGGACGUGCUGA